UACGUAGGGUGCAGGCGUUAAUCGGAAUUACUGGGCGUAAAGCGUGCGCAGGCGGUCUGCUAAGAGAGAUGUGAAAUCCCCGGGCUUAACCUGGGAACUGCGUUUCUAACUGGCAGGCUAGAGUGUGGCAGAGGGGGGUGGAAUUCCACGUGUAGCAGUGAAAUGCGCAGAUAUCAGGAAGAACACCCGUGGCGAAGGCGGCUCUCUGGAACGCAACUGACGCUGAGACGCGAAAGCGUGGGGAGCAAACAGG
rnacentral:rRNA from 1 species